rnacentral:rRNA from 1 species
UACGUAGGUGGCAAGCGUUGUCCGGAAUCACUGGGCGUAAAGCGCGCGCAGGCGGCGAUCUAGGUCUGGGGGGAAAGCCCGGAGCUCAACUCCGGGACUGCCUUGGAUACGGGAUCGCUUGAGGAUUGGAGAGGCAAGGGGAAUUCCACGUGUAGCGGUGAAAUGCGUAGAGAUGUGGAGGAACACCUGUGGCGAAGGCGCCUUGCUGGCCAAUUACUGACGCUGAGGCGCGAAAGCGUGGGGAGCAAACAGG